rnacentral:rRNA from 1 species
AUGGCGCAUACAAAGAGAAGCGACCUCGCGAGAGCAAGCGGACCUCAUAAAGUGUGUCGUAGUCCGGAUUGGAGUCUGCAACUCGACUCCAUGAAGUCGGAAUCGCUAGUAAUCGUGGAUCAGAAUGCCACGGUGAAUAUGUUGUCCGGG